AGGCACCGGGGCGGGCACCCGGGCGGGCGGCCCGCGAGUCAGAUGGUCCGAUGCUGCCCUAUUGCGCUGCCGGACCUCGGUUUCUGAGAUAAUGAGGUCCACGCAGGUCCGAAGGAAAGGACCCGGAGCGCAAACCCUCCUGAGUGCUUGAAAGACCUGGGAUCGCUUGGGGUGGCUGCUCGUGGCAAGUGCUCUGCAGGUUCACAGCUCAGUCCAGGGCUCCCCUAGCCAAGACCCCACGGGCUAAAACCACAGGGUGGUGAGCAGGCCUGAAAAGGCACUGUGUGUGUGUGUGUGUGUGUGUGAGACCUUAGGUUCCCAGCCCAGGCCUCAGGAUUGCCCACAUUGGUGGUGCUUCUCAUCUCAGUGAACGAACCCAAGCUAGGAGCUCCCUCAUAGCCAUGCUCUGAACUUCGCCUCUUCAGUGAUUCUAGGACUUGUCCGGUUGGCAAUGUUAAAUCUCACCGUUUCUAUCUGAACUGGUACACUUGUCUUGAACUGGAUCUACCCCAGGAGUAGAUGGUUUGUAAAGACCCCCCUCCCUCCAAAAUGUGGACUUUUCAAAAAUGGGGUCUAGGUCUAUGGGCCUCAGUAGGAUAUCCAGCCAUUGAACCCAUGCCAAACCCCACACUGGAACCCUGAGGCUAAGACAGCCCAGCAGUUUACAUUUUCCCAGCGCUCUGCUGGUGGCUCUGAUGCAGGAUCUAGGUGGAGCCAAACCCAGGCUUAGAUCAUGAUCAUCUCAAGUGACCUCUGGCACUUUCAAUGAGAGAUGGUCAGCCAAGGAAGGACCUAAGAUGACACCUGUCAAGGCUAAAAGUGUCCCUAAUCAGAGGCUUUGUUUGCCAUGGUCCACCGAGCCUGCAACCCUUGGGCAGGACUCAAGAGUCAGUCUUGACUUUGCCACUAACUGGCUCCUGCCCUCAUUAUAUAAGGUGAAUCUCUGAAUGUUUCAACCCCAUGAGCAUCACGCUGGCUGACCACAAAACUGCCAAAAAAAAAGAGUCUACAGCAAAAAGACAAACAAACAAACAAACAAACCACUCUGGUGGUGUGGUGUGGACCCAUCUAUAAUGCCAGCACCUGGGGUAGAGACAGAAGGAUCAGGAGUUGGUCAUCCUAAGCUACAUAGUGACCUCAAGGCUAGCCUGGACUAUAUGAAACCCUGUCUCAAAGAACAAAGAAUAAAAAUAGCAUCCUGGGUAUAGUCCCCGAGUGCUGUGCCACAAAAGCUGUCAAAGCUGCAGCAGACCCCUACUUCCUGCCCAUCCUACAAGCUGCAACAAAACGUUCCAUGGGAGCUGUCCAAAAUGACUGCUCUGGUCAGAAUGGCUCAGCCUGCAGCCGUCACUGGAUCUUCAGGAGCUGUCAUCCACAGUGGUCCACUGCUUUUCCCACCUCAGUGGAAGCUGCCCCUCAGGAACUGUCUACAGUAGCAACAGCUUUCCUGCCUUAGCCUACAGCUUUUGUGAAAUAUCACUGCAGGAGCUGUCUGGCAGGAACUGUGCACAGUGGUAGUACCUCCUCUCCAGCCUCCCUCUCAUCAUAGCAGCCCUACCCUAACCCAUGGGCCUGAUGAAGAAAAAGGGAGUAAAAAAAAAAAGCCACCAGUCCCUGAGCAGGAAAACCUAUGACUCCUUGAGAUUCCCAUAAAACCCCACCAACCCCUGUGAUGGUUUGUAUAUGCUUGGUUUAGGGAGUGGCACUAUUAGAAGGUGUGGCCUUAUUGGAAUAGGUGUGACUUUGUUGGAGUAGGUGUGUCACUAUGGGUGUGGGCUUCAAGACCCUCAUUUUAGCUGCCUGGAUGUCAGUCUUCCACUAGCAGCCUUCAGAUGAAGAUGUAGAACUCUCAGCUCUUCCUGCACCAUGCCUGCCUGGAUGCUGCCAUGUUCCUGCCUUGAUGACAAUGAACUGAACCUCUGAACCUGUAAGCCAGCCCCAAUUAAAUGUUGUCCUU
ensembl:lincRNA Gm26608 predicted gene, 26608